AAGAGGCUGACUCUGUGAGAAGAAACAAAAAGGAUGUCCUCUAUCUUUAGGAGUCCCUCGCUGGCCAGGUUCCUGCUGCUGAGAGACAUUCAACAAAAUCACUGGUCAACCAUCCACAGCAAUCCACCUAAGGAAAAGGUCGGCCCGGUGCAAUCUGUCUUUGCCAUGUGCGUGUUUGCAGUGGCUCUCCUGGGCCCUGCUGGAUGGAUCAUGCAUCACAUCCCAGAAUACCGAGAGCAGGCACCUCCACAUUCCUGACACCCGCAAGAUCUCUGCAUUUGAGACGGUUGCCAAAGUGCUUUUGCUGUUUGAAGCCUUUUUCAAAUGUGUGAAAUCUAAUGAAUGAUGCAAGAUGAGAAGUGACGGUGCUGUUUCCCUGUACCGCAUAAAGACUUACACACGA